AUUGAACGCUGGCGGAAUGCUUUACACAUGCAAGUCGAACGGCAGCACGGACUUCGGUCUGGUGGCGAGUGGCGAACGGGUGAGUAAUGUAUCGGAACGUGCCCAGUCGUGGGGGAUAACGUAGUGAAAAUUACGCUAAUACCGCAUACGAUCUAUGGAUGAAAGCGGGGGAUCGCAAGACCUCGCGCGAUUGGAGCGGCCGAUAUCAGAUUAGGUAGUUGGUGGGGUAAAGGCCCACCAAGCCAACGAUCUGUAGCUGGUCUGCGAGGACGACCAGCCAGACUGGAACGGAGACACGGGCCAGACGCCUACGGGAGGCAGAAGUGGGGAAUUUUGGACAAUGGGCGAAAGCCUGAACCAGCCAUUCCGCGUGCAGGAUGAAGGCCCUCGGGUUGUAAACUGCUUUUGUACAGAACGAAAAGGUUUCUACUAAUACUAGGAGCUCAUGACGGUACUGUAAGAAUAAGCACCGGCUAACUACGUGCCAGCCGCCGCCGUAA
rnacentral:rRNA from 1 species